AGAUAAAGUUUUAACCAGGAGAGCUUUCUGGGAAAAAAGUGUGUUUCUUGCUGGAGACAAAUGUCUGAAAUGUUCAGUGACUGGCUGCAAAGAUCAACUUGAUUGCCAAGUCUGAAAGGAAGGGAACAAGCACAAUGGAGCCCCCUCCCCAGCUCAGCCCCUCUUUUAUCCUUUCCCAUCCAGGAUCCAUGGGCACUCUGCCAACGGGGAAUCUUAAGAACUCAUUCAAAGGAACCCGAAGAAAGGAGCUUGUUUAAAACCAGGAGCCAUUCUUUCGCAGGCUCUUGUUUUUCUUUACGUUUCCCACGUGAGGAGGGAUUUUCUGGCUGUCAUUUUCUCUGACACAGCUUCUGAAAUGGUGUGUGUGUGUGUGUGUGUGUGUGUGUGUUGGGGGGGGGUUGCUGGAAUUGCAAUUCAUGUAACGUUUCAUCGGAUUUGUGUUUUGAAGGAGUGUUAGUGAGAGAUCUCCCUCCAGAGCCCCUUCCUCCCUCUCUCUCUACUUUUCUUCCUGCUUUUACUCCAUCUCUCUCCUGCACACAUGGUAACUCCUCCCCCCGGCGACCCAUUGUCUCUCCGUACAGUACCGGGCUGAGAGGAUGUCACACUCGGUCCAGCGAUGGACACAGGACAGGGAGAAGGAGGAGACGGAGCGACCGCUAGAGUCAGAACCAGCAGCAUGCACCUGAACUAACACACACCGGGAGGCUGCAGCUAUCUGAUCAUUGGUUGGAGGGAUUCAUAAUUUCACUCAACUAGAGGCUCUGGCUCACACGUGUCACACCUUCAGUGGGUUCUUGUGGAAACGGUCACAUCGACGAGUCUCGAGUGCUUUUAUUAAAGAUAAAGCUAAAGUGUGGGCAGCCUGUCGCGGUGACCGUCCUCCAUCGUCUGAAUAACAGCUGGACUCUUUCAUUAAAGACAUGAAAUCAUUCACCACAACCCGUCAGCCAUACAUCUAUCUAAUCAGUAAUUAAGUCAGACUGUUUAUUAAAAUGUUUUUAUGGUUCUAGAUGGACUUUUCUCUGCUCUGACCCAGUUCCCUCGUGAGAAAGUGUUGUCUUCGAAAUGAUCGUUUAUUCUGUUCAGACUCGUAGCUUUUAGUCUGAUUAGUUUAUCUCAGCACAAGUAUCGUUCUUUAACUGUAGCUGAUGUGUGAGCAGGAGACGCCUUUGUGAUCGUAUUAUGUUUAUUCAUGACAAUAAAAACCCGUUCUCUAUUCAAUGAAGUUCAGGUAAAAUUCUGAUUUACUAAUUAUUCAUAAAGAAUGUUUGUUGUUUCCUGCUUAUGUAGUCCUGCUGAUCCAGCUGGAAGAAAACCCUUUCUAAAUAAAAGCUCAGGUCUCAGGAAAUAAAAGGAAAAGAUGGUUUUUUAUUACUUGUUUGGAAGUUUAACUGAAUCAUUAGUUUCAAACAUGAACUAAAAAGAAAAGUGAAGCUUUUUACUAAAUAGUAAAACCAGUUCCGGACCCUAAGCUGUGAACUGAGCUCCGGUCUGGUUUUAUGGAUCAUCAUCCUUCACGGGCCCGGAUGUAGCCAUGGGCAAGGAGGGGCAAUGCCCCCCUAAAAAUAGUAACUGCCCCCCCCCCCCACCCCCAAAUGCGAUGACAUGUAGAAAUCCCACAUUUGAAAAGAUCUGAUGAAAAAGGGUCAGAGUUCUCUCUCUCUCUCUCUCUCUCUCUCUCUCUCUCUCUCUCUCUCUCUCUCUCUCUCU
ensembl:lncRNA